ACAAUUUUAAGUUAAAAAAAAAAAAAAAAGGAAUUCCUGACUGAGCCGCUUUGUCAUAUUGAUUUCUUUCCAGGGAUAAAUGGUUUCUGUUCUAUUAAUACAGAGGAGACUUCACUGCACGGACUGUGCAGGUUCUGUAGGAUCCUGUCCGGCAUCAUAUUUCUUUAGGGGAAACGUCUCCAUCAAGUGAAUUUCAUAACACAAAUCUGUCUCUGUUCCUAUAAAUCAUCAAUCGGUGACGCUCAUUGAUCCUGGCAUUACUGUUCACAAAAGAAUUGCCUGUAGGAGGAGAAAUCCCUGCACUGUCCAGUAGAGGGCCAGAGACCUGCACAGCCUGACACCAGCCGCUGCUCAAUGUAUAAUGUGUGAUGGCACAAUAAGGCGCUGUUCACUUCUAUGCUGAAGCUUCUGUUUACUGGAUGCAGCUCUGGAGGCAACCAAAGCACCCCAGAAGAAGCCUGAAGAAAGAUCUGAAGAUGAAGUGAAUGGAUAUUGUAGACUACAAACAUCUAUGUAUUCCACUGCCCCUAUUUUCUGACGACAGAUACCAAGGGAAAGGAGAAGGAUCGGGAACUGCACUGACAGCAAAUUGAUAGAUGGCAAAUUGACCAAUUGGCCAUGGAAAGCAAAUGGAAAAUAAACACCAGACCUGUGUCCUGGGGGGCAAAAGCAAAGACAAAGAUGCCAUAAAAG